CGUCUAGUGGAUGACUAGGCUCAAGUGCCGAAGAGGGGCGUGGCAAGCUGCGAUAAGUCUUGGCGAGUUGCACGCGAACUUUGAACCAAGAAUCCCCUAAUUGUGCCGUAAGGCACGGGUACGCAGGGAAUUGAAGCAUCUUAGUACCUGCAGGAAAAGAAAUCAAUCGAGAUACUGUUAUUAGCAGCGAGCGAAAACAGUAGAGGGCAAUCUGAAUCCAAUAUGGUAACAUAUUGGAGAUGUGGAUUUGGCUGGUUAAUAUCCUAAAAAGCGAACUGAAGUGCUCUGGAAAGAGCCGCCAUAGAGCGUGAUAGCCGUGUAAGUGAAGUUCGGAGGGAUAAUUUCCAGGACCAGGAGUAGGGUGCAUUGGAUUUUGCGUCUGAAAAUGGGAGUCAUUAACUCCCAACCCUAAAUAUUACUUGAGACCGAUAGCAUACUAGUACCGUGAGGGAAAGUUGAAAAGUACCCUUAGCAGGGGUUGAAAAGCACCUGAAACUAGGCGGUUAUAAUCGGGCACGGCGUGAAAGAGACGACGCUUCCCCAAGAGACUGUUGGAAACGGCAGAAUCAAAGGAAGCUGAUCAACGUUGUGUCGUUCGUCCCGAAGCACGAGCGAGGGAAUUUGAGGUAGUGGCAAGGUUAAUCCUUUCAAGGGAGAAGCCGAAGUGAAAGCAAGUUGCCGCAGUUUACGAGGGCAAGCGUUUAAUAGCGUAAGUCACUGCUUUAAGACCUGAAACCAAGGCGAUCUAGGCCUGGGCAAGAUGAAGUCCCCCUACCGGGGGAUGGAGGUCUGCAACCGUUGUUAGUCUAUCUGCUCGGGUGACCUGGGUCUAGGCGUAAAAUGCGACUCAAUCGCAUGGUAAUAGCAGGCUCCUCCUGAAGUAACUCUAAGGUUAGCCUGGUCGGAGCAUGCCAAAGGUGUAGAGAUACUAAUUAGAAAGUACGGGGUCGAGAGACUUCGCUUUCUUGUUAAACUCCGAAUUCUUUGGCUGUGUUGAUGACUGGAGUAGGGGCGCCGGGGUAAGCUUGGUGUCCUUGAGGGGAACAACCCAGACUUGGGUUAAGGCCCUUAAAUGCUGGUUAAGUGUAAAGGCGAAAAGUGUCUUCAUCCACAGACAGUAGGGAGGUUGGCUUAGAAGCAGCCAUCCUUUAAAGAAUGCGUAACAGCUCACCUACCCAGGUUGAAGGCCUUGAAAAUAAUCAGGACUAAACCAGCUGCCGAUACCCAAGGCCACUCUCAGUCGAGAGUGAUGCCGUAAGGAGGUGUUCUGAUAGCACAGAAGCAUCCUGGAAACAGAAUGUGGAGCUGUUAGAAAUAUGGAUCCUCGUACUAGUAAUAACGAUAGAGACGUGAGAAUCGUCUCCGCCGAAAGGGCUAGGGUUCCUUAGCGCUAAUCAUUAGCUAAGGGUUAGUCGGUCCUAACUUCAUUCGUAGGUCGAAAUGAAGGAAUGGGAAACAGGUUCAUAUUCCUGUACCACACAAAUACGUUUGGCGACAAUAGUCUGUUUUCUGACACUUUGGGCUAGGUUAGGCAGUCUUGUCUGGCUGUUCAACUGGGAUAAGUCUCUGGAGAACCGUAAUGGUGAGAAGGAGAGUAAACCCAGGGAGUGGCAACAUCUAACUAAUGCCGGGGGUCCUUGAAAAGGAAAACAGAAUGGAUUUUGUGUGUCCGUACCGAGAACUGAGAAAGGUGCCCCUGGCUGAGAAUGCCUAGGCGUAUCAGGGUAACUGCAUUUAGGGAAUUCGGCAAUUUAGCCCCGUAUCUUCGGUAUAAGGGGUGCCUGCUCCUUGCGGGGCAGGUCACAGUAUCAAGGGGAGUCCGACUGUUUACUAAAAACACAGGUCCCUGCUAGCCCGUAAGGGUGUGUAUAGGGGCUGACUUCUGCUCACUGCCAGUACGUGAAACUUCUUUCCAAGGAAACUAAGCGCUGGUAAAGAGCGGGCCUAACUCUGAGGCUCUUAUGGUAGCGUAAUACCUUGCCGGUUUAUUGCCGGCUUGCACCAACGAAGCAACGAGAUUCCCGCUGUCCCAAAUGUGGACCUGACGAACUUGCUGCGCGGUGAAUAUGCCGCGAACUUCUAACGGGAAGAGAAGACCCCACGGAGGUUUACUACUGUCUGAUGUUGUAGUAUAGUUUUUGGAGUAUAGUGUAGGUGGGAGCACCGAAGCAAUUUCGCUAGGAAUUGUGGAGCAACAAUGUAACACCACCCUUCAAAAACUAUGCUGCUUACUUGAAAAAGGACAGCAUUUGAUUGGUAGUUGGACUGGGGCGGUACACCCCUGAAACGAUAUCAGGGGUGCCCAAAGGUCUGCUCAGGCGAGUCAGAAAUUCGCCGUAGAGUGCAAGAGCAAAAGCAGGCUUGACUAUGUUUCGCACAGCAAGAAACGUAGAUUCGAAAGAAGGGUCUAGCGAACGCCAGUGGCCCUUUAAUGGGGCCCUGGUCUUACAGUGAACUUACCCUGGGGGUAAUUGUGUUGUCGCGGGUGAGAGUCCACAUCGACCCCGCGGUUUGCUACCUCGCCGUCGUCUCAAGGCAUCCUGGCCGUGCACAAGCGGCCAAGGGUGGAGGUGUUAACUCAUUAAAGCCUUACGUUAGUUGGGUUGAGAACGGUGCGAGCCAGUUUGGAUACUAUCUGUUAGAAGUGUCGAUAGUCUGAGGGGAAGGUACUAUGAGUACGAGAGGAACGUAGUGUCGCAGCCUCUAGUCUGCCAGUUGUCUGACAAGGCAAUGCUGGGUAGCCACGCUGUAGCCGAUAAGGGCUGAAAGCAUCUAAGCUCGAAGCGGUCCCUAAAAAUAGACUAUCAUCUCUGAAAUUCUUGU
rnacentral:rRNA from 1 species